rnacentral:lncRNA from 1 species
UGGCGCGCUGGGCUAUGUCGCAGAACCUCCCAAGUUAUCAGGCCCACAUGCACUUGUCCUUGUCUCAAAGACCUCAGACAGCUAUGCGUGUGCACCAAACAACUUAACAGGAUCUGUCCGAGUGCCCCGAGGACCCCGGAUAAACGACUUAUCGCCAAGAUCGCAUGAUUAAGUAAAUACAAAUCACACACCAACAUUUGCAGCGGAAAUAAAUUCUUUAUUACAAAAUGAUUACAUGUUACAAUAAUUUUACAUUAUACAAUUAUCGGAGUGAUUACAAGAGAAAAUGAUUCAAAAGAAUUACAAAUUAAAAUGUAUAAAAUAUUUAUAGGUUUUCAAAUACAUGCUAGCUUAAGUGACAAUCCUCAAUAAAGAAGCUAAAGAUGGGAUAUACUUAUAUAAGAAGGCCGAACCCACCGGCACUUAGCACCAUCCACAACAGAACAAACUUAUAACCUGAAAAACAACAGGGAAUAAAGCCCUGAGUACGCAAUUACUCAGCAAGACUUACCCGACUAAAGAAAAGACUCUCAAGGGUAUGCUG